rnacentral:rRNA from 1 species
AGUUUGAUCCUGGCGUCAGGAUAAACGCUGGCGGCGCACAUAAGACAUGCAAGUCGAACGGACUUUAACCAUUAGUUUACUAUUGGAGCGGUUAGUGGCGGACUGGUGAGUAACACGUAAGCAACCUGCCUAUCAGAGGGGAACAACAGUUAGAAAUGACUGCUAAUACCGCAUAUGCCUUGAAUAUCGCAUGAUAAAAGAGGGAAAGGAGUAAUCCGCUGAUAGAUGGGCUUGCGUCUGAUUAGAUAGUUGGUGGGGUAAUGGCCUACCAAGUCGACGAUCAGUAGCCGGACUGAGAGGUUGAACGGCCACAUUGGGACUGAGAUACGGCCCAGACUCCUACGGGAGGCAGCAGUCGGGAAUAUUGCGCAAUGGAGGAAACUCUGACGCAGUGACGCCGCGUGCAGGAAGAAGGUUUUCGGAUUGUAAACUGCUUUAGACAGGGAAGAGAAAGGACAGUACCUGUAGAAUAAGCUCCGGCUAACUACGUGCC